CCCUUAGAUGUUCUGGGCCGCACGCGCGCUACACUGACGAAGUCAGCGAGCAUGUCCUACGCCGACAGGUGCGGGGAAUCUUGUCAAACUUCGUCGUGAUGGGGAUUGAUUAUUGAAAUUCUUGAUCAUCAACGAGGAAUUCCUAGUAAGCGCAAGUCAGCAGCUUGCGUUGAUUACGUCCCUGCCCUUUGUACACACCGCCCGUCGCUACUACCGAUUGAAUGGUUUAGUGAGAUCUUCGGAUUGGUGCCACUGCGGCUCAGCAAUGGGCUCGGUGGAUGCCGAAAAGUUGAUCAAACUUGAUCAUUUAGAGGAAGUAAAAGUCGUAACA
rnacentral:rRNA from 1 species